GCGGGUGUAGUUCAAUGGUAGAACCUCAGCCUUCCAAGCUGAGUACGUGGGUUCGAUUCCCAUCACCCGCUCCA
rnacentral:tRNA from 2 species